UACAGAGGUCCCAAGCGUUGUUCGGAUUUACUGGGCGUAAAGGGCGCGUAGGCGGCCUUGUCAGUCAGGCGUGAAAGCCCCGGGCUCAACCUGGGAACGGCGCUUGGGACGGCGAGGCUGGAGUUCGGGAGAGGAGAGUGGAAUUCCCAGUGUAGAGGUGAAAUUCGUAGAUAUUGGGAAGAACACCGGUGGCGAAGGCGGCUCUCUGGACCGACACUGACGCUGAGGCGCGAAAGCGUGGGGAGCAAACAGG
rnacentral:rRNA from 1 species